rnacentral:lncRNA from 10 species
ACUGCCUUGCUCUCAGACUGAGCAUAGGAAAGUGAGGCAGAGCCAAAACCCCAGACGAAAUUAUGGAAUCCAACAGCAGAAGACACCUGUGCUCCUGCAACUAAGUAGAAUCCUGGGAGGUCCGGGAAGUGUGUGCUGCACCAUUGCAGGACAUCUUCUCCUGUUACUAACUUGUUCCACAUCCCCUAGCAGUCUCAGAAAUACAGAAUUGAAGCCUCAAACUGUGUUUGAGUAUGUGUGGGUACUCUGAAUGACGGCUGGAGAUAUGAAGACAUAUGGCUGCCUUUUCCUUGGUGAAGUAGAGAAUGAGAUGAGGUUUUCCACUGAGAGAGGCCACACUAGAACAGUGUAUCAGUAAAACUUCAGCUUAGUUGAAGUAAUUAAACAAUAAAAAGGAGUUAACGGCUUUGUCCCUGGUAAGUCUGCUUCGUCCCUGAAUAUGGGAAUGAGUUGGCUUUCCAUAAACCAUACAGAUUUGGGAACAAAAGUAGGAACUUUGUGAACCAGUUAAAGAGACCACCAAAAGAUGCACACUCAGGUAGAAUUGCAAACUGCCACUGUAAAGAAAGGGAGCCAACUGGUGCUAAAAAGUGUUUCAAUCCAAAGUGUAAUCAAAUAAGUUUAAGUCAAGUUGCUCCCUGAGUUUCACUCAAAUAAUCACUUUAUUAUGUUUCCAUAACUACCACAUAGCUAACUUUUCCUGGUUCUUUUUCAUUUGUGUAAUUUUUUUAAAAAUCAAUGCAAUGAGUUAAAAUGGCAUAAAUAUAGAAAAGAAUUUUAAAGAGAAUGCUU